rnacentral:misc_RNA from 1 species
GCUCUCCAUGGAGUCCUCGCUCGCAUCGACUGGGCCAACCCACGCACAAGCACAGAAUCAGAAACCACACACAUCCAUCAUACAUAUAGCGCAAGGAAGGGCAUCCAUCAUAUAUAUGGUGCACACAAAAGGCAAACAGUCCGGCGGCCGAUGGGAACGUGGUGGCGGGGAAACCCGCGGCGCCAGCGAAUGCCACCCUCGCCGCAUGCGAAAAGGUGAUUCCCGCCCCGCUGGUGCCGAAAGCGGCGCGCGGAUCUGCUCCGGCAUAAAGAUGGUAGAGGAGGGUCAGGUGCCAUUCGUACCGCGAGAAACUUUUGGUGGGAUGC